CAUGACUGAGCAUCAGCAAAGCAUGAGUGAGGGAUAGAGUAGGUCCCUGCAGCUACCAGCAGCUACCUUGACAGCACUAAAAUUGCAGUCACAGCCACCACUGCAGACAAGAGGAAGGAUACUGCUGGUACUCAUAUGUCAGUCAGAAACAAGAAAAUGACCGAGAUCACAUUGACGAAUCGGAUGUCAGCAUCUGGAACGCCUAAUGAACUGAAUACAUACUCCAUGGCAGUGAACCAUGAAGCGGGUUGUUCUGGUCGUAAAGGUGGCAAUUUACGCUGGGAACAGAGUCUGUGAGGUCAGUGAUCUACACAUUGACUGCACUGUCAGCACAUGAUGUUCUGUGGAGCUUCCAGAGCUGCAUUUACAGCAAAAGAUGGCCACAAUGUUAACAUGACUUAAAAUGAUUCAUACAAAAACUUGCAUGAUGCAUCUUGCGGCUCACACAAGGUCACCACUAUGUAAGUAUUUCCCUAUCAGGUGACACAGAAUGUACACAUACACAGAAUUGAGAAGCUUG